rnacentral:rRNA from 1 species
UACGGAGGGUGCAAGCGUUACUCGGAUUUACUGGGCGUAAAGCGCAUGUAGGCGGUUGGUUAAGGCUGUUGUGAAAUCCCUGGGCUCAACCCAGGAAGUGCAGUGGAUACUGACCAACUAGAAUUCAGGAGAGGAGAGUGGAAUUCCUGGUGUAGAGGUGAAAUUCGUAGAUAUCAGGAGGAACACCGGUGGCGAAGGCGGCUCUCUGGACUGACAUUGACGCUGAGAUGCGAAAGCGUGGGUAGCAAACAGG